rnacentral:rRNA from 1 species
CAGCCGCCGCGGUAAUACGAAGGGGGCUAGCGUUGCUCGGAAUGACUGGGCGUAAAGGGCGCGUAGGCGGCGGCCAAAGUCAGGCGUGAAAUUCCUGGGCUCAACCUGGGGGCUGCGCUUGAUACUUGGUUGCUUGAGUGGGGAAGAGGGUCGUGGAAUUCCCAGUGUAGAGGUGAAAUUCGUAGAUAUUGGGAAGAACACCGGUGGCGAAGGCGGCGACCUGGUCCUUGACUGACGCUGAGGCGCGAAAGCGUGGGGAGCAAACAGGAUUAGAUACCCCUGUAGUCCCUGUCUCUUAUAC